UUUUCAAAGUACCACUUUUCAUAUUUACACUAACCACUUUUACCCUCAUCUCUAACGAAGGGUAAAAGAGAUUUAUAACUUUUUGAUUACCUUUGAUAAAAAAAUAUAUGGUUAACUAAUCUAAACUUAAAACAUCAACUCUAAACCCUAAAUCAUCAACUCUAAACCCUAAACCAUAACCCUAAAUCAUGAAACAUCAACUCUAAACCCUAAAUUCCGAAACAUAACUCUAAACCCUAAACCCUAAAACUUCAAAUCUAAACCCUAAAACAUCAACUCUAAACCCUAAACGUAAACCCUAAACCCUAAAUCUAAACUUAAAACAUCAACUUUAAACCCUAAAUCAUCAACUCUAAACCCUAAACCCCGAAACAUCAACUCUAAACCCUAAACCCUAAACCCUAAACCUUCAAAUCAAACCCUAAAACAUCAACUCUAAACCCUAAAUGUAAAUUCUAAACCCUAAACCUUAUAUUUUUCUGAAAUUCGAACCCUAAACCCUAAAACCCUAAACCUUCAAAUAUAAAACCUAAAACAUCAACUCUAAACCCUAAACAUAAACCCUAAACCCUAAAUCUUCAAAUCUAAACCCUAAAACAUCAACUCUAGGGUUUUAGGGUUUAGGGUUUAGGGUUUAGAGUUGAAGGUUUAAAGCUUAGGGUUUAGAGUUGAUGUUUUAGGGUUUAUGGUUAUUUUUUUUGGGUUUAGGGUUUAGAGUUUACUUUUUAGGGUUUAGGGUUUAGUGUUGAUGGUUUAGGGUUUAGAGUUGAAGUUUAGGGUUUAGAGUUGAUGUUUUAGGGUUUAGAGUUGAAGGUUUAGGGUUUAGAGUUUAGAGUUGAUGUUUCGGGGUUUAGGAUUGAGUUGAUGUUUCAGGGUUUAGGUUUUAUUUAAAAAAAAAUAGGGUUUAGGAUUGAUGGUUUAGGGUUUAGGAUUCGUAUUUCAAAAAAAAAUAGGGUUUAGGAUUGAUGGUUUAGGGUUUAGAGUUAAGUUUUAGGGUUUAGGGUUUGAAUUUCAAAAUAGUAUAAUUCAGAAAUUUUUUUAUUUUUUUAGAUUUUUAUUUUUUUAAAUAUUUAUUUAUUAUAUAUAUAAAGAACAGUGACAUAAGAGUCUUUUGCCACUUAAUGAAUAAGAUAUUUUUGAAAAUGUCUCUUUAGUGGUGGUAAAAAUGAAAAGUGGUAGCAUGAAAGUGGUAAAUAUGUAAUUUUCCCAUAAGAAUUUUUUUUUCUUUUAAAUCGUGACGGGAGAAAAUUGUAAAAUUUUAUUUAAUAGUAAUUUCUACUUCAAAAAUUUAAUGAUAAACAUGAUAGUAACAAUUAUUCAAUUAACAAAAAAAAUUGUAAAAAACGAAUUUUGAAAAUUGCAACUUUUAAAAAUAGUUAAUAUUAACUGGAAAUAGUUAUUUGAUAGAAAUUGUUUUUUAAAUCCUAGACAAAAUAUAAUUGUAAAAUAUUAUGUAAUAUUAAUUUCCUUUUCUAAAAUCCUACAAAACUGUAAAAGAAUAUUUGAUAGUUAUUUUUCUUUUCUUUUUAUAAAGAAAAAUCCUAAACAAAAGAAAAUUGUAUAAUAGUUUUAAGUCCUAACCAAAAGAGAAGUGUAAAAAAUUAUUUGAUAUUAUUUUUUAAGAGAGUGUUUGAUGAUGAACAUGAUAGUGUAAAAUUAGUAUUGAUACGAUUUGUAAAAAUAGUAAUUUUGAAAAUAUUUAUUUAUAACUAAAAAUAAUUAUUUGAUAGCAAUAUUCUUUUCUGAAAUUCUAGAAAGAAGAAAAUUGUAAUAGGUUAUAUGACAAUAAUUUACCUUCUAAAUCUUAAACAAAAUUGUAAAAGAGUAUUUAAUAUUAUUUUUUAUUUUUAAUUGUAAAUAAAAUGAAGAUUAUAGAAUAGAAUGUUUUUUAAAAAAAAACCUAGCAAAAUAAAUAUUUAAGGACUUAUUUAAUAAAACAUUAAAUUAGUACAUAAGAACAUGUAUAAUGUUGUCAUUGAUUCGAUUGGUGUAUUUAACUUUCAUUUCUUUUUACUUUUCAUUUUUUUAUUUCAGAUUGUGUUCAGUUUAAAUGUUUAUGUAUAGUAUUUUCUCUAAUCAUUAGUAUAAAUUUUAUAACAACUCAUCUAAGCACCAUAAUUAUAAAAUACAAAUAUUAACUUGAACUUAUGUGUGAAAACGGAUUUUAAUUAUAAAAUAAAUCUCAAACAACAUAUUCAAAAAACAAUCAUAAUACUAUAAUAAAAUGAUUUAUUAUUUUAUGGUUUUAAUUAAAUCAAAACAUCAAACAAAACCCAACGCAACGGGCUCAUAUCUUGUUACUAAUAAGGUUCGAUCCAAAAGAGCUUUUUUUUCUAUUUGGUUUACUAAAUCUAUACUAUUAAAAGGGAACGUUUCCUAAAAAAAUCUAAUUAAAAAAAGUUGUUACACUUUUUCAUUUUUAGUCCAGUUUAUUAUAUACAAUCAAAUAUUAUAACCAACCCCUACUAUAUAACAACCAAAUAAUAUUUUCUAACAUUUAUAAAUAUAUGUAACCUCUCCUUUAAUUUCAAUUUUUUUUGUGACCCACUUAUCUUAUCUGCAUAUAAAAAUGCUUAAUGGUUACCAAACGUACUUACCUAUAGUAUCUACAACUUAUAACAUCUACCAUCAAUGAUAUAUCAAUAUCAACACUAUUAAAAGCAAAUUAUAGCAGACAUUGUGGACAACGUAGAAGGUUUUGUAUUAUGUUCUUAGAUUAUUGUUGGGAUUGCAAUAUUAAAUUAGAAAAAAUGUGCCAGGUAAAUCUUAAAUCUCAUCAGCUUAACAAUAACUCUUAUAAAAUGUUUUUUUUUUUUAAAUUAAAGAACUUUUUGACUCUAGGACUAGCCAUUAGUAACAACAACAAAAAAACCUCAAAUACAAAAGUCAAAAUUAUGAGAUGUUUAUUUAAGCCUAAUACAAGCCCAUUAGGACGUAUAAUAGUAUAAGCCCAUCUUCAUUUAGUCAGAAAAGUCACGUGCACCUAUCAGGUGAUUUUUUUUUUGGCUUUAUCAAAUCCAAUAACACUUGGAGACGGAAGAGUAGGGUUUGUGUAAACGAGAGAUUUGAGAUGGCGCUUAGAGGAGUAUGGCAGCUCCAAAAGCUCGUAGUGAGCUACUGUAAUUGGGGAGGUAGCAGUAGAGGCAUAAGGUACCACCACCUAUUCUUUAUCAUCUAUCUAUCUAUACGAAUCUGGAGUUUGGACAACAUCUCAUGUUUAUAAGUUUGAGUCUACUGUUCUCUCUUUGAUGUAUCCAAUGUAAUGAAAUCGUUACCAUUUCAUAGUUAGGAACUAGUACUGAACAUGUUCCUUGUUGUUAAAUUAAUAUACAGAGCCUUUAUGGAAUCAGAGUUGCCUGCGCUUAUAGAGAAAAACCCGCAGCUCGAAGUGGCAACCGAGCUUUCAAGGGGGCAACAUCCUUACCUCAAGGGCAUAUACAGUAUGUAAUCUCUAACCUUUUCUUGCUUGUUGUAAUGUACAGGUAAUGUAAGGUUUCAGCGAUUUUAUAUACGGCUUUGUUGUAUAGGGAAUAGAAAUGAGAGGGUGGUGUGUGUGAAGAACAUGGAUCCUGAACAAGUGCUUUUGAAUGCAACGAGGCUUAGGAACUCACUUGGAAGGAAAGUGGUGAAGCUGAGGACUAGACAUGUGACCAAGCACCCCAGUGUUCAAGGCACUUGGACAACCGCUGUCAAGUUCUGACAACUUUGGAUGUUGCAAGUAUUCAUCCUUGUUAUCUUACAUUUGCAGUCCUGAGUUGUUUCUACUUCUAUUUGGACAAAGAUUCAGCUUCAGUUGUUUGAGUCUUAAUAAGAUUUCAGGAGGGUUUAUGGUAAAUUUCAUAGUUAUAGUAGUUCUCGGUAUUUUAGCAUCUUACCAAUACAGAGAGGACUCAAACUUUUCAUUUUUUUUUUGUUAUUUGUCACUAGUACAAGAAAUCAGACAAGCCCCCUUGUAAUACGACAACAUAUACAUGUAAAAAAAACUUAGUAGACUGGAGGAUGGAGACUGUGAGAAGCUGUUUUGAUUUUAGUAAAUUAGGAGCUUAUGUCUUCUGGUAUUGAAGGUAACGAAGCAGAGUUGUUGUCUAUAUCCCCCCGGCUGGUUGAGGAUGAGUGUGACUUGAGAUACGACGAUGCCACUUCUAGCAUCACUUCCACUUCUUUCUUGUACUGUGUUACAAAGUAUCAAAAACCAAAUGCAUCAUAAUAGGCCUAUUACAGCGGAAUCUUAAGCUUAGUCGAUCGGAAUAAGGACAUAAACUAACCUCAUCAAUUGCUCCUGCUUUAAUCUUCGAUUGCAUCAAGCACCAUUUCUUGAAAUGUACACCUAUACAUGAAUACAAGAGAUCAUCUCAUACAUUGUGCCAUUGCAAGUUUUACUCUGACUAGUGAACACACUUUGGAAUAAGUGGAAACCUUGAAAGGAUACUUACCAACUCUUAUAUCAAUUACAGAGGAAGUCUCCUCUUUUGCUUCCAAUCGCCAUCGGCAAUGGACCUGAUACAGACAUGAUUAAGAAGCAUGCCAAGCUGAAAUGAAUGAUGGGUUGCAAAGAGAAUGAUGAACUCAGAACCAGAUUUUACUCAUAGAUUAAUGUACCUCAAAGUAAGAACCAAAAGGAACAUCAUGUGGCUGUUGCACAGUUUCAAAAACCUGGAAGACAGGAAGAUAUAAGUAUUAUCAGAUCGAUAUCAUUUUUUUUUCGUUUGUAGAAUCUGAACAACAUUAUCAAUUACUACCCUUCCAAGGGAAAGUUCAUUCUUACCAGCAUUUUCUUAUCUGGUGACAGAACAACAUGCUGCCAUUCCGUCACAGCAGUGUCUGGAGGACACAUAGGACUAUUACAAAUGGAUCUGAACUUAAUCUCUCUAACUUGACCAUCAUAUUCUUCAGCAGUAUGCCAAGGCUCUAUCUGAAAGAUCACAAAGUUACAUAUAUGUUUAAUCUAAAGAGCACAGCUAUUAGAAGGCCUGUGUAUGAAGGCUAAUGUUCUAGAUAGUAAUGUCAAAACUUACAUUAAGAUUCUUAUCCUUCCGUGCAGAUCUGUACUCAUUAGUAUAAGUGGAAUCAUCAGCCAACAAAAGGUUCAGGAAUUGCUCAGGUGUACUUGGGAAAACAUCCUGCAUACAAGAGUAUGAUGUCAUAAACUUCCAGAAAACAACUAUAGAUAGCAUUAACAAGAAGAAACAAAUGCUUACAUUACAAAUGCCGACAAGGACUUCUUCCUUGACAAAUGUCUGAAGCUUUACAGGUACAGCUGCAGUAUCUUCGGGAGCUUUCACUUGUACUUUACCACCUCCUCUCACAGAGCUACUGUGAGCACGCAAAGCAGAUUCUGCUCUCUCCUAUAGAGUAAAAAGCCAACAAAAAGGUGAAACAUGUUAAGUUUUCAGGUAGCCAGCCAAAUAGGAGAGAGACCUUCUUUUCAGCUUCUAACAUUGCGUGAUAAUUAUUAACUGCACGCUGCAAUGCUUUUUGUGUGUGGUUCCUGUUCCAAAACGAUGCAAAUUUAUACCUCACUCUACCUGAAAUAAAGAAGGUAUUCCAUAGAGACAUAAACAUGACAAAGCACCAUUACAGAUAAAAUUUCCAAAAACUAAACUUUGGUCGGUCCUACAGGUAAAAAAGGCUAUGCCAGAAACCAAAUGUGAAAAUAUUCUGAACUAACAUUAAAAAAAAAAUGUUUGCUGAAGAUGUAGAAAGACAUGAAGGUUGAUUUUAUCACAAAACUGAAAAUCCAGUAAUAAAAAUAAAUCUCUAACCAUCAGGAGUCCCAAGAGGGGGAACACCAUGUCCACCAGCGCCCAUCCGUAGUAUGAUUGUUAUAGCUGGGUUUAUCAAUGCAUGUUGACUUCUACGAAUCUAUAAUAAACAUUUACGCAUCACUAGCCCAGUUAUCCGUUUAAAUCAAUAGAAAUUCUGAGUGGUCAAGAAAAUAAUACUACCUCAUCUAUAUCUCCCAGAGGUAUAACUACCUGCAAAAUGAGAAGGAGAGGAAGUUUUAACAAUUGAUUCAUAGAAUUUAGAAUGUAGUUAUUAAACUAACAGAAGCACUAACCUUCAUUUGCUUAGAGAAAACAUUGGAGUGAAAACAUAUGUGCCACGCAGAAACAUAGAUUCGGCCAUGAUACAAGAAUGACCUCUCCAGAGCACAUGAAUAGGUGUGCUCAACUACCUAAGUAAAAUUGCAGGGAACAUAGUCAGAGUACUGAACAUAUAACAGGAAACCCAUCUUCAUGCACAUGAUUUCCUAACCCUCAUAUGAGAGCCUACAAUAGAUACCACAGUUAGUAACUUGGUUGUGACUAGCUUACCUCAUCAGGGAGGAGAUCAAAUAUCGUCUGCAGAGGCCCUGGCUUUUGAUGUACAAUUGUUGGACCUUGCUGAUCCAAUGAGACCCUUCUUCUACCAGCUCCAGCAUAUCCAGUUAUAGCCCUACCAAUGAAAAUCCAUUUUGUAAACACAACACAACCUCUUCUAAAUUUGUUAUGCUCUACUUUCUAAACAUGAUAAACCAUUUACUCGGAAUUACCUAGAAGCAUUCACUGGUAGUUUGAUCGCAUUAAUGUUAAGGCAAACCUGGCAAACAAAUUUGGAUUAGCCUCUAAAGAAACAAGAAGGCUUGACUUAAGAGCCUUCACUGGGAAAACAUGCAAACAGAAACUAGGAAUAUACAUACCUGUCCGGAUGGGCUAUCUAAUGAGUGCCACACUGGACCCGUCUGGCCUUCACGUUCGACGCUAAUAGUAACUGAGCCAAGGACAGUACUUUUCCAAAUUAUAUCCCAGUCAUGAAUUGUUACAUUGAUCUGACAUAACAAAACAUAUGGUACAUGUUAGAAAAUGCAUUUGGUAAACAUAAAAAAGGUGAUCAGAAUGUUUUGCAUCCGAAAUUAUCAAUCAAAAUAAGUGAUUUUCAGUAUUCUUUACCAAUUCAUAUGACAAUCAACCUUGUGCCUAGGGUACUUCACAUGAGAAAUCUAAACAAUCCAACUAAGUCCUAAAGCAUCUUAAAGUUGUGAAAGAUGAUAACCUUAACAGGAAGCUCAUCUGUAGGAAAGUUGAACUCUUCACCCCACAUUGGAUUCCUGGAGCCAGGGACCAUAGAACUGUAACAAGCAAAGAGAUAUAUUAGACAGACCAAAGUGUAAGCUUUCACUAAUAUACGUUCUUUUGUUCUUAACAAAGUUAUAAAAUCUAAAAAAAAUUGAAAAAGAAAAGGCCUUUUUCAUUACCUAAAUCGUUUUUCUGAUCCACAAUUGACAAUAGCAUAAGGAUCUGAUGUUCCAUUUAAAUUUGCACCAAUGAGAUUCUUAGCAGCCAGCAAUUCCACCUGGCAAACAAAAUGAAAUGUUAAUAUCCGACAUUAAUCUUUAAACUCUUCAGACACGCAGAUGAAACAUAAGAGCCAGUUUAAGACACUAACCUUGAUUAUGUAUGGAGCAUUUGUCUGAGUGUCUCCUCUCAACUGUCCUAUCUACACACAAAAAAAAUAAAUUGCACAAACUGCAAGUCAUAAACUUGUUUAUCACCCACAAGAUUUCUCAAGCUAUUACUACUAAAGAAACGUUUCAGUUUAGGAAAUCAAAAACCUUGUCUUUGGCAAAGAUGGCGUCACCACCGGAAUCUCGAUCAAAUCCAACACCGCCGUUAGCUUCGUCAUCUCCGUCGACUUUGUAAGCGAACAGCCAAUAAGAAACGAUCAAGAAAGCGGAAGCGGCCACCGCAACCUCAAUCUCCCACGUAGAAGGUACCAGGAACUCCACCCCCAACGGAACCAUCUCGAUUUUGAUAGAGUAAGUUGAUAAAAAUACGAAAUUUCUCCGGCGAUCAACGAGGUCUAGGGAUUCAUUUUUCCGACAAGUGGAAUCAACAGAGAAGAAAUGACUUUUGGAGAAGAAAGAAACUCUGAAAUUUAGGAGUUAAGGAGACUGAGUUUACAGGAAUGCACUUGUAACUGUAGACAGUUACGGUUCGAAGACCAGGGGAAUAGAGGGUUAGUUUUGGAAUUUGUGUUGACAGCAGUAACCGUAGAACACCGAGUGAAGACUUUUAAACUGAAAAAAUGAAAAACGUGUACAUUUUCUUCCUUCAUUUUUAGUCUCUCUUUUGAAAAUAUUCUUCUUUGUAAAAAACCCACAAAAUUAUUAUUAUUAAAUUACAUUUGGAAAGUUCUCACUAUAGAUUAUAUGAUUUACAUGAAAAUAAACCCAUCAUUCGAGAUGAAAUCAUAUCAAAAUAAUAUAUAGCCUAAUCAAGUUCAGCAAACCUAAUUAGUGAUGUUAAGUUUGGUUUAACAAAGGAUUUAAACCCUCUAAAUAUUUUGAAUCGAACAAAAAACUUUCAACUAAUAAUUUAAUUUUUUAAAAAAAUUCUCAACUUAUAAAUUGCUAAUGUCAAUCAUUUUCUGUCUAUAAUAUCGUUUAUUUUAGUCAAAAAUAAUUAAAUAUUUUAUAAUGACAUCUACAGUGUGAUUUAGACUUUCAUUAGUCAAACCGAACUAUUUGAUUAGUCUUUACUUUUGAAUCUGAUAUCGGCCCAUCAAUUGAAUAUUAAAAUAUGGUUUAGAUUUUGUUGGACGUUUGUAACAUCUCUUACUUGAAACAAAGUAGUAAACUGGAUUAAAUAAGAAUUAUUGGAUGUUGUAUUUUAAUGGAUUCAAAAAUCCGAACUAAAUCUAGUGUUAUUGGUUCUGUGAUUUUCAAAUCUGUAUUAAAAUCAGGUGUUAUUGGUUUAAUAAUUCAUAAAUUCUAUAUCAAAUCAAGUGUUAUUCAAUCGUACAGAUUUACUAAUAUAUUUGAUUUUAUAAUAGAUUUGAAUGGAUUUGUUUAGAUUUUUUAGUUAAAAAUACAAAGACUCAAAUUCGAGAAAAAACCUCCGAAUUUGCAUAUUUUACUUGGAUUUAUAAAUACUAUAUGAAUUUCUAAAUCAAUCAAAAUAUAUAAACCAAUAACACCUCCAAAAUAUCCAACGAAAUAAAACAAGCAAAGAAGAAAGUGUUAGAAUCUAUUUAGAUAACUCAAUUGGAAACCUAUUUAUAGAAAUAUAUUUCUUAUCUCUGCACAUCUCAUCAACAAUUAGAAAACGGAUGCAUGAUGCAAUAAAUUUGAUUUCUAGAAUCUAGUUAACCGGAUAAUAAUCCAUAAACUAAUUAACUAAAUCGGUUCGGUUUUACAACAAGUGGUAAUUAAUCGAAGAGGCAGCAAAUGAAAGCAAGCCACGUGGGAAACAUAGAGAGACAGAUAGAGAGGGAAGAACCACGUUUAGGUUUUUUAAUUGAGGUGUAGUAUAAAUACGUUUGAUCAGUGUUUUUGUAAGUGCCUUCACAACAUUCCUUCUUCUUCUCUCACUCUCUUCUAGCCGCAAACGGCAAACCUCCACAGCUCCACUACUAACUAGGUGAUCUCGCACCUCUUAUUAAUCCCAACUCUGUUGUAUCUAAACUAUAUGUUUUGAUUCUUUAUGACGUUUUACUCAUUUUCUUUGCUUAGUGUGGUUGCAAAGGUCUUGACCUUUUGUUCUUCUUGUUGUUGUUGCCUUGUGAGCUCCAGCUUCGUUAUUAGCUAUGGACUAUAGCUUUUAUUGUUUCCCUGGUUCAUUUUUGUAAUGGUUUAGAGCUUCUUUGAGCAUAAUUGUGAACGUUUAUAUGAUUAGCUGUAAGGAAACCGUUAAGAUUCAAGUCUAUAGUCUACAAUAAGAUGUUAUCAAUCUGAAUGUUUAUAUGAUUAGCUGUAAGUUGUAACAUAAGUAUAUAUACUCACGGUGGUCUUUCAUCGCCAGGUAACUGUAUUGAGAAACAUCAACCAUGGUUUUCAACUUGAUCAGGUUCUAAUGUAAGAUAAGAAGAGUAUGUGUAAACGGUUAUAAUGAAUGUGGCUGAACCACAUAUGGAGCUCAACCAAGAAAGUCAACAGUUAAAUGUAGAGCAGAGUCUUGGAGGAAGACAUGAAGAAUGUGUCCUUACCAGAGCUAAUACAGGUGAGGAACUGGAGGUUGAUAUAGUUGAAUCUGAUGAAAACAACAUAGCCACCACGGAUGAAGAAGAUCCAGAUGCUACUGAAUAUUCAAGCUCGUUCUCCGACACUGCAUCUGAGGAUGCUGACAUGUUGUGUAAUGGACUGGCCGAAGAAUAUGCUGAGGUGGAAUCUCAUUAUUGGGAUGAAACUGACUUAGGACCUGCUUAUGAUUCCUUUAGCAGCAUUUUUCAUUAUAGGUCUGUGUUUCUGCUGCUCCAUUGUUUCUUGUUUUAUCUCUCUGUGUGUCUCUUAUGUUUGUGUCUUUUGUAGGAAGAAAAGGCUAACAAGUCACUGGAAGAGCUUUAUACGGCCAUUGAUGUGGAGAUCCAAGUGGGUUGAGUUAAAGAUUAGGGAGUUAGAGUCUCGAGCCUUAGAAUACCCAAAGGAGCUUGAAUCAUUGGAUCAAGAAAAGCUUGGAGCUAAUAUUGAUCCAUCUGUGUUGGAAACCUAUGGCAAGGGAAUCAAGUCAUUACCGUUUUCUAAUCCCUCUUACAGAAAAAGAGCAGCAAAGAGGAGAAGAAAGCGUAAGAAGGUUGAGAGAACAGACGAUAUCGCUUCAUAUAUGUCCCAUCAUAACCUCUUUUCUUACAUCGGUAAGGGGCUAUAACAUAACAACUCAUAAUGUCUGUAUUGCUUUGAGCAUAUCAUUCAAUGUACUGUUAUGGUUUUUGUUUCAGAGACCAAGAGGUUGAGCUCAGAUGGAAUGUCAGUGGCUGAUGACUUUGCUGUCCAGGAUACACUGAUUGAGUCAAAGGACCGGGUGGCUUUAGAUGAAGAUGACUCACUUUUCGACCACCGAGAUGGAGAUGGUGUCUUGGAAGAGGUUCUCUGGAAGAUAGAGCUGGUGCAUUCACAUGUUCAUAGGUUGAAAACUCAAGUUGAUCUUGUGAUGUCUAAGAACGCAGCAAGAUUCUCUUCCUCAGAGAAUCUGAGCCUUCUUGCUGCAAGCUCUGCGCCUAGCCCCACGGUUUCUGCUGGAGGAGAUGUGAUCUCUAUUGAAGCAGUUUACAACUCUUCUCACCUCAUGCAAGACUACGUUCUUGGAGAUUUAGUGUUCUCAUCUGAAGGAAUGGCUUCAAGCUACGGAGAUGCGUUUCACAUUCCUGAUAUAAUCGAAAGUACUGUUGGUCUAUUUGCAGAUGCAGAUGUUACAUUACAUCAUCCUCAAGUUGGAGACUCUUGUGAAGAUGUAAGUUUGUGAUUUUGCUUUUGUUAUUAUACUUAAGAACAUCUUCUUUUAUGUUGUUUGAUUCGGCUAACUGCAGAUUUUGGAUAAUAUAUUUAUUCGAAAUGGAGUGGCUGAAGAAAUGAAUGCUGAUUUGAUGGAAACUAGUAUCCAAGAAGAAGGUGAGAAACCUGAGGAAGGAGAAGGAACCAGUGUGCUACCAUUGCAGCAACUUCAAGAAACAGAGCAAGAUUCGGUUCUAAGAUCAUGUUUGGCUUCUGAGAGGCUUGUUGUUCCUAGGAACAAAAGGACAAGAUGUGGAGAACGUAAAGCGAGUUCUUGGUGCAAGAAACAUCUCAGCGAUCCUGAAAGCCAGUGAUUGCUAAAAGAAAAAACUCAGUAAGCUUGAUUCUACUGAGCCACAGCGACUAUUCUGAAGAUUCUUUACUUGUCUUUUUUCCUCCGCUUCCUUACUUUCAGAUUGUGUGUUUGCAGAAUCAUCAACUUCGUUUUUUCAUAUCAUUAUUUUCUUUUCUGUUCUGUGAUGUUGAUGAAAAAGUUAGACAGAAGACACAAAGUGUGUAUAAUUAAGCUUUAGAUUGUAGCCUGAUUACAAGUUAUUCAAAUUCAGCCUGGUUCUGAAAACAUAUGAAGGUUUAUGCUUUCUAAUUCUUACCAGAUAUGGAUCCGACCGGCCGAGCGGGUUAUUAUUCCUCUUACUAAAAUUGAAACUGACAUAAAAUAAAUUAGUAUCUUAGUGAUAUCAAUUCAUUAGAAAACGAAAUUAGUAUUCUUGUUACUAUAACUAGAUUCAUUUUCCGCGCUACGCGCGGAUAGUAUCUUAUAAAUUUUAAAUUUAAUUUUUGUUAAAAAAUAUUUAAAAUUUAAUUUACAUUAUUUUAUACCAAAAAUCAUAAAUAAGGGUAAGAAUUGGUUGAUUUUAUUUGUGAUUUUUUGACAAUAUUAAAUUGAUUGAUUUAUUGCUCAUAGUUAACAUGUUUGUUUGAUUGGUUUUCAGUUCAAAGUAAUGUAUAGUAUUAUAUUUGGUGAGUGUAUAUAUGUUGUGUUGUUCCAAUAUUUGAAUUUUCAUGUUAAAACAAUACUAUUCAAAUUCAUGACUUUUAACGAUUAGAUGUAUGUUUUGUUGUUUUCUCUUGUAUACAUACAAAUUUAAUUUAUUUUUAUUGAAAGUUUUGUUUAUUGAUCAUAGGCAUAUUAAUAUAGAUUUUUUUUAUCUCGGAAUUUUACAGCAUUUGUUUUUGUAUACUCACAUUUUUUUCAUAUUUUCAGUACCUAGUUAUACAAAUAAUACGUACGUGUGUUUUUUAGAAGAAGUUUUGAUCCCGCAAACUUGAGCAAAACUCUUCAUCAUGUCAGUUCAUCCAUGUUUUCCUAUAAACUUAGAUUCAUUAUAUGUCUCGUUAGAACCCUUUACGUAUCCACAGAUGGUUUUGCCUAUUAAUUAUAUAAAAGAUAUUACAUUGGACUGAAAAUGGUGACUGAUAAUAAACCAGCUAACAGAUAUGUUUAUUUGUGUACGUGCAAAUCUUACCUAAAAAGUAAGGUGCAACUUUAUUGGUUGUAUACAAAAUAUGUCUUGAAAUCGUAACAGAACUAUCUUCUCUAUUAAAAUCAAAACAAAAGAGUAAAGCUUCAAUUCUUCAAUACACACAACCAAAUUACAUAUCUGAUUGAUGUCUUGAGCUAGACUCAUACGAAGAAACACCAUGUCAUAAAUCUACGUAGAAGCUUGAUUUGCUUUGACGGGGAUUUGUCAGUGAACAUAAGUCCAAGUGUAAUUACUUGCUUAAUUUUCUCCAACGUUCUCUCUUCAAUCUUCAUAUUCUCAUCAACCACUCUUUCUCUAAGUUAUCCGACCAUAAACUCUUAUUUACUCAACAUACCUCCUUUCUGGAUCUUCUUUUUCCUCACCAGGUUUAAGAUUUGUAAUCAUUUCCAAGAUAAACAAUCCAAAGUUAAAUAUAUAUGUAGAUGAUUGAUAUCUUGCAUAUUUACAUUGUUUUAUCAAUUUAUUCAUGUGCAUUUUCAUCAUAUAGAUUAGGAUUUAGCCAUGUCUAGGUUGCAUUUUGCAUACAUAUGUCUCUAUUAGGUAUUGGAGUACCACAUGGAGUUCCUGGAGACAUUUGGGUGCAUUUGGAGCUCAAAGGAGGUGAUUAAAGUGAUCUUUGGACGAGCACUGCCUGGAGCGACCUCUCAGAGCGACCUACCAAGGUCGCUCCCAGCCAGAGCGACCAGCCCAGAGCGACUAUCUCAAGUCGCUACAGCCAGAGCGACCUACCGGAGCGACACCCAGGGGUCGCUCGGGUUGUGUCGAUUUGAGAGCGACGAACAAGCCGGGAGCGACCUCCUAGAGCGACACCCUAAGUUCGCUCGUGUUUAUGGUUUCUGAGCAAGCCGGGAGCGACGUCUUCAGAACGACACAGCCAGGUCGCUCGCGAGGAGACGACCCGGGAGCGACGUCUUCGGAGCGAUAUAGCCAGGUCGCUCUAGGAGAAACGACCCGGGAGCGACCUCUCGCAGCGACGUGCCGAGGUCGCCCCGCGUCUAUUUGUUUGGCCGAAUUCAUGUUUUCUAAAGGUCCUUUUGAUCAUUUCAUUAUGCACGUUUUUACUUUUCAAAACCUAUGUUUUAAGUACCUUUUGUAGCUACCAGAGGCGAGAUCUCUUUUUGGAGAAGAACAACUAGUAAAACUUCUUUUGAUUAAGAUUUCAUUGCUUUCAUCUUGUGUUCUUGUUGAUUUCUUGUCUAUUUCUCUACAUGAUUAAUCUGAAAUCCAAUAUGAGUUUAAGAGGAAUCAUGGAGAUUAGUGAGUAAUCACUUUUUGAAUUCAUGGGUUAGAGAGAUUAAGGGUGAUUAGGCUAGUUCUAGGAUGUUUUAGUGUAGAUCAUUCUUGUUCCUUGCUAGUAGAGUAUUCAUAAUGCAUCUUCUGAGUUGGCCACUCAAAAGUUGAUCAAUAGGCAUUUCCCACCCAAAAGGUGUUUGAUGAAAUGCCAGAGACAACUCUCCUAGGCUCUUAGUAUACUUUGCCAAAGACAUUUGUUGUUAAAGAUGCUAAGAUAGCUAAUAGACUUGUUAGUAAUGAUUGCUUUCACAUUAUUCAACCAAAGACAUUUGAUGUUUGGGAUAUGUUAGCAAAUGAGCAUUCAUCUAGACAUAGAGCUUGCUUAGAAUUGUGUCUAGGCUUAAGGUCGAUAGUUUGAUUGAUCAUUUGCCAUCCUUAGUUCGAAACUUGAUCACCCAAGGUCUAAUCCCUAUGCCCAUGAGUUCUCUUUUCCCUUAGUCAAGAAAGUAUCAUUCUGUAAUUGCUUUCUAGUAUUAGUAGUAGUUUAAAACCCAUCUAAAUCAUUGGUUGCACUUAGAUUAAGUGAGUACUUGCAUUCUCGGUGCUUUGAUGUCCCUCAGAACUGGUUCGACAAUCAUUUAUACUACAACAUUUGUCUUAGGAGCCUUAAAAACUUCUAACAUCAAAUUGGCGCCGUUGCCAAAUUCUGAGUAGAUUUGAACAUUGAGAUUUAGUCACUUGCUUGAGACUAAGUCAUUUUAAUUUUGUUUUGUUACUGAUUCUUCUUCUUCACCUACCUUUAACUUUCAGGUGUAUGAACUUGGGGAACAGAGGUCCAUCAAACCUAGUUCCAAUAGUACCAGACAUCAGAGCUUUAGAGAGAGAGUGUGCUAGAGCUAGAAGAGAAGAAGAACAACAAGCCCACUUGCAGAGAUUGGAUAUUGAUAUGGCAGAUCCACCGCAAGGGGCAGAACACCAACCGCGGGCAGCUCGACCCAUUGGUACUUAUAACCGGCCCAACAUUCAUGGUCAUAUACUGGGAAUCCGAGCACCGGCUGUGGCAGCCAACAACUUUGAGGCCAAGUCAAGACUCCUCAACGUGAUCGAGAACAACAAGUAUCAUGGCUUGGCUCUAGAUGACCCAUUUGAUCACUUGGACAAGUUCGACAGCUACUGUGGGUUGUCAAAAACCAAUGGUGUGUCCAAAGAUGCCUUAAAGCUCAAGCUAUUCCCUUUCUCUUUGGGGGAUAAGGCACGUCAGUGGGAGAAGUCUCUACCCAGCGACUCUAUCACCACUUGGGAUGACUGCAAGAAAGCAUUCUUGGAGAAGUUCUUCUCUACUUCAAGAACUGCUAAGCUGAGAAAUGAGAUCUCUAGCUUUCAACAGAAGGGCUUGGAAGGCUUCAGUGAAGCCUGGGAGAGAUUCAAGGGCUACUAAGCUCAAUGCCCACACCAUGGUUUCUCUAAGGAGAGCUUGUUGAGCACAUUCUACCGUGGUGCUCUUCCUAAGUACAGGGCCAGACUGGAUACAGCUAGCAAUGAGUUCUUCUUGGGGAGAACUGAGGAAGAUGCAGAGGAGCUGGUUGACAACAUGGUAAAGAGUGAUGCAGUCUACAGUGGAGACCACGACAGAGGCAGUCGAACAGAUGAUAAGCAGACGAGGAAGGAGUUGAAAGCUCUACAAGAUAAGAUAGACAUCCUCAUUGCUGAUAAAGCCACCUAAGAGCAGCUGCACUUUGUUGGUAACCCAAGCCAAGAGACACCACCUGUUGUCCAUAAGGUUGAGGGUUUGGAAGGUCAGGAAGAGCAGUGUUUCAUCAACAACAAUGGUAGUUGGUACAAAAAAGAGCCCAACUUUCAGUACAACAACUACCAACAGAAAUCCUAUCCCAACAACCAACAGAGUGGUUAUCCGCCUCGAAACAACCAGCAAGGCAGCUAUCAGCCUCAGCAAAACCCCUCGUCUGGUUCCUCUGCUCGUCAAGAGAGCAACACUGAUACCUUGCUGAAACAAAUCUUGGAGUCUUAGACUAGAAGUGAGAAGCAUGUUGGUUAUGAAUUGAAGAACCUUCAUUCUAAGAUUGAUGGGAGCUACAAUGAGCUCAACAACAAAUUCUCACAUCUUGCUUCUACAGUCAAGAAUUUAGAGAAUCAGUUUGCUUCCAUGAACACUCACCAGAAUCGACAACAAGGAUCUCUACCUGAAAAAUCUGACCAAAACCCCAAGGAGGCCAAAGCUAUCACCCUUAGGAGUGGUAAGCAGUUACCUCCUACAACCCUCACCAGGGAUGCUGAGAAACUAGGUGAGAAGGUGGCCAUCAACUUAGAUGAUGAAGUGGUGAUUGUUUAUGAGAAAAUCAAUGAUGAAAUCUUGGAGAAGAUUGUGGAAGCCAAAGGUAAAGGAAAGGUUGGGGAAGAGAAGAAAACAGUGAAAGAUGGUGAAGUUGUUGCUCCAGCAAGUGAGAAUUCUUUUCUUCCUCCUCCCUAUGAACCCAAACUUCCAUUCCCUGAUAGAUUCAAGAAGCAGCUGCUAGAGAAGUACAAAGCUCUGUUUGAGAAGCAAAUGAGUGAAGCUCAGGUUGCAAUGCCCAUCAUCGAUGCUUUCAUGUUGAUUCCUCAAUACAACAGGUUCCUGAAAGAUGUUGUAGCUGCAAAGAAGAAGGAGAUGGAAGGUAUGAUGAUUCUUACCCAUGAGUGCAGUGCCAUCAUUCAGAGGCUUGAUGUUCCGGAGAAGUUAGAGGAUCCAGGAUGCUUUACACUACCUUGUGCUCUUGGACCUAUGGUAUUUGAGAAAUGUCUCUGCGAUUUGGGAGUUAGUGUCAGCUUGAUGCCUUUGUCUGUUGCAAAGAAGCUUGGAUUCACUCAGUACAAGAAGUGUAGACUCUCUCUGGUGUUAGCUGAUCGUUCGGUGAAGUACCCUGUGAGCAUCUUAGAGGACCUCCCUGUGAAAAUUGGAGGGUAUGAGAUACCUACAGAUUUUGUGGUGCUUGAGAUGGGUGAGGAACUUCAAGACCCAUUGAUUCUAGGAAGGCCAUUCUUAGCUACAACAGGAGCUAUUGUUAAUGUGAAGGAAGGCACGAUUGAUCUCCAUUUGGGUAAAGAGAACAUCCUCCACUUUGACAUCAAGGGGAAAAUGAAGAAACCAACUGUGUUCGGGCAAGCCUUCUACAUUGAAGAGAUGGACACUCCUGCUGAUGAGCACCUUGAAGAGUUACCACCUGAGGACGACAAGGAGGGAGCAUCUCCCUCUACUCAUUCCCCAUAGAAGGUAACCCACUACUUUCCCUUGUAUAUACCAUUUCGUUUUUGCAUAUUAGUUUUCUCUUUUUGGGUAUCUCUCUCUCCUUGACAACACAGAGACUGUGUCAUUUAAGUUUGGGGGAGGUACCAAGUAUUUGAUCAUGUUUGCUUUGAUGUGGUUUUAUUGAGUCAUGCAUUGCAUACCUAUUUGCAUAAAAAAAAUCAUUUAGUUUGCAUCAUUUGCAUUUCUAGGAGAGACUAGAGCAUAUAGGUAGCAUUUACUUGCAUUGGGAGCAAUGAUUUGAAUGCCUUGUAAAGAACAUUACCUUGCACCUGAGUAGCUUAUGCACCUCUCAAAAAGACUUGUAUGCUUCGAGCCUUGAAAACUCUUCCUGAAACUUGUUGAUUGCUGAAACUCAACCUUUGAAGCCAACUACAACCUUGUUUGAACUGAAUGAACUUAAUGCUUCUUGCUUAUAGUCCCUUGUGUACUGAGUCAUGGAUAUACACACUUGAGUUGUCACAUCCUUUAUGCCAAUCUUUUUGACAAACUCGAGUGGUACACCAUUCCCAAAGCCCUUCCCUCCUUUUAAGCCUUCAUUGAUUGAUGAGUGAGACCUUUUUCGGAAAGUCUUACAUGCACAUAAUGUUGAGAGUAUCGGGAACGACAAUGCUUGAUCUUCAUUCUUGCUAGAUUAGGCAUAUUAUUGUCUAGCCAUAGGAUGGGGGUGAGUGUUGUAAAGUUUGAUUUGGGAGUAUGAGAAAGUUGAAGGAAAAGAGUGAACUUUUGUGCUUAAUUGACUAGUCUUUAUGGGAUAAGUAGAGAAACUUCUAGCUCAAUUUGUGAAAAGUCUUGGCCCCCAAAAAAAAAAAAAAAAAAAAAAAAAAAAAAAAAGAAUAAAGAAAAGGGGGCUAUCAAAAUUAGUAUGAGAUAAGAGAUGUUCAAAAAGUGUAAGAAAUCCCUUGUUAAAAAAAAAAAAGAGUUUUAUGUUGGGAAAUGCUUUUGGAGUCCUUGGGUGAGAGAUGUGAGUUGGGUUUGGAAUGGAGAAAUGAAUGUGUAUCAUAUAUGUUUGGGAAAAGGGUAGAACAAUGGGGAUUGAGCAUUGUAUGCAUGAGUUGAUCCAUUUCUUAGAUAUAUUAUGUGCAAUGUCAAGGCUACUUGUCUUGAGAGUAUACCACCUUAAAUAUCAUAUAUCUUGAACCCCUUGACUCACUUGAUUAAAAAGCCUCCCCUUACCCAAAUGAUUUGGACCAACUGACCAUUUGCAAGAAUUCACUUGAUGCUAUGCUUAAUGAACUUGAGAGUUGGCUGAUUUGCAUGUGUGAAUGCAUGAUGAUGAGUGUAGGGAUGAAAAGAGUUGAGAUAGGCCUAGAGAAGCUAGAGUAUAAUAAAAGAGGGUGUACUAAUGCUGAAUUUAGAUGUUGAUUUGAGUGCUUGUGUGUUUCUUUUGGCUAUGAGCUCCCACCUUCAAACCUCUCUCCCUAUGAGUUCUACAAAGUUCACUUGAGGACAAGUAAAAGAAUAAGUUUGGGAGAGUUGAUAUCUUGCAUAUUUACAUUGUUUUAUCUAUUUAUUCAUGUGCAUUUUCAUCAUAUAGAUUAGGAUUUAGCCAUGUCUAGGUUGCAUUUUGCAUACAUAUGUCUCUAUUAGGUAUUGGAGUACCACAUGGAGUUUCUGGAGACAUUUGGGUGCAUUUGGAGCUCAAAGGAGGUGAUUAGAGUGAUCUUUGGACGACCACUGCCUGGAGCGACCUCUCAGAGCGACCUACCAAGGUCGUUCCCAGCCAGAGCGACCAGCCCAGAGCGACUAUCUCAAGUCGCUCCAGCAAGAGCGACCUACCGGAGCGACACCCAGAGGUCGCUCGGGUUGUGUCAAUUUGAGAGCGACAAACAAGCCGGGAGCGACCUCCUAGAGCGGCACCCUAAGGUCGCUCGCGUUUAUGGUUUCUGAGCAAGCCAGGAGCGACGUCUUCAGAGCGACACAGCCAGGUCGCUCUAGGAGAAACGACCCGGGAGCGACCUCUCGCAGCGACGUGCCGAGGUCUCUCCGCGUCUAUUUGUUUAGCCGAAUUCAUGUUUUCUAAAGGGCCUUUUGGUCAUUUCAUUAUGCACGUUUUUACUUUUCAAAACCUAUGUUUUAAGUACAUUUUGUAGCCACCAGAGGCGAGAUCUCUUUUUGGAGAAGAACAACUAGUAAAACUUCUUUUGAUUCAGAUUUCAUUACUUUGAUGUUGUGUUCUUGUUGAUUUCUUGUCUAUUUCUCUACAUGAUUAAUCUGAAAUCCAAUAUGGGUUUAAGAGGAAUCAUGGAGAUUAGUGAGUAAUCACUUUUUGAAUUCAUGGGUUAGGGAGAUUAGGGGUAAUUAGGUUAGUUCUAGGAUGUUUUAGUGUAGAUCAUUCUUGUUCCUUGCUAGUAGAGUAUUCAUAAUGCAUCUUCUGAUUGGACCACUCAAAAGUUGAUCAAUAGGCAUUUCCCACCCAAAAGGUGUUUGAUGAAAUGCCUGAAACAACUCUCCUAGGCUCUUAGUAUACUUUGCCAAAGACAUUUGUUGUUAAAGAUGCUAAGAUAGCUAAUAGACUUGUUAGUAAUGAUUGCUUUCACAUUAUUCAACCAAAGACAUUUGAUGUUUGGGAUAUGUUAGCAAAUGAGCAUUCAUCUAGACAUAGAGCUUGCUUAGAAUUGUGUCUAGGCUUAAGGUCGAUAGUUUGAUUGGUCAUUUGCCAUCCUUAGUUCGAAACUUAAUCACCCAAGGUCUAAUCCCUAUGCCCAUGAGUUAUCUUUUCCCUUAGUCAAGAAAGUAUCAUUCUGUAUUUGCUUUCUAGUAUUAGUAGUAGUUUAAAACUCAUCUAAAUCAUUGGUUGCACUUAGAUUAAGUGAGUACUUGCAUUCUCGGUGCUUUGAUAUCCCUCAGAACUGGUUCGACAAUCAUUUAUACUACAACAUUUGUCUUAUGAGCCUUGAAAACUCCUAACAUCAAUGAUAACACAAACAAAAACACACGUAACUUGAAAUUUUUGUAUUUUAUAUUUUCGAAGAAAAAGACAUUACUUGAUGAGUAGGUUUCAUCUCCAUGAGUAGGUUUCAUCUCCAAUCUUGAAUUGAGAAAUCAAUGGUUCUUUAUCAUCAUCGAUAACAAAACACUACUUGCAUUCAGAUCAAAUAUAAUCUCAGGCCAUUUUUCGAAUAGAUAGAACAUACCUUCUACAACUUCUAUAACCACUCCUAAUCUUCUUCUCCAUGACGCAGUCAAUGAAGAAUUGAGCGUAAGUCUCUAAUAUUUUCUCCACCGGUCGAUUCUGUAACCAAAGCGAUCAAGUUACUGCUAAAAAUCUUACCAAAUUCUUGUGUCUUAGCUUAAAAACACACGCCUUUUCUCUUUCGAAACCAUCUUUAUGUAAACCUAACAUGUCCCGUUUCUUAACGUUCCUCUAUAGUCUGUAGAUAUCCGCUCCAUUGCUCUUCCUCACAAUUUUUUGUUCCCAGAACUCAUUUGACACUGCAUCGAGCAUAGGCGGAUGUGAAUUUGAGGCUUCUCCGGCAUGUUCGUGGUAAGCAAUCAUGUCUUUUUGAGAGAUAACCAUCCUAAGCAACAGCAAAACGUAGAUGUCAUAAGAAGAUUAGAAACUUACGAACCUUUGAUUCCUAUCAGUUUUAGAGACUCCAUUUAUCUUUAAAUCAAGCUUAAGUAGGUGUCUUUAUCUAUUUAAGAAAUGAGAAUCUAAACGUAGAGUUAAUCAUGGUUUAAAUGGAGGAAAAAGAUAAGUGAGUACCUACUACACGUUUCACUGAAUUUUCGGUAGAACUCGCCAGCAGGGAACUCUAAGAAUGUAGUGGGAAAAGGGAACAUGAGAGAGCCAAUGUGGAUGAUGAUCUUUACAGAAAUCGAUUGUCACGUACUUGGUUCCGAUAAGGAUGCCUCCUUUGGAAUUAUUGCAAGCUUCCCAAAAAUGGAUUAGUCUAAACAUCAACUUGGAAUCUCAUGGUCCUGCUGNNNNNNNNNNNNNNNNNNNNNNNNNNNNNNNNNNNNUGGUCCUGCUGAAACAAAAGUGGAGAAUGGCUUGUAUUGCACGGUGGCGACUGCCGUUUGAUUUGCCAUAGUGCUGGGAUGCGUUUGCUGAGGAAGAGAUUGUUGGGUUGGGAUAUAUAUAUAUAUAUAUAUAUAUAUAUAUAUAGUCUCAAUAGGGAAAGGAGAGAGAUGUGAUGUGUUUCAUUUAAGUGAUUAAUUAAGGGAUCUUCAAGAGGCAUUGAUAUCAUUGGGUAAGAGGAGGGGUGUGGAAAGUUACACGCCGAUUUGUCUGGAGGAUAGCUUUUAUUCAUCAUUGUUGCCGUCGCAGGCGUUAUACAUAGGAGAUGGGAAGACGAUGAGUUUUGGAUGGUCUGUAGAUGCCGUGACAACUUGGGUUAGAGGAAGAGGAAAGUAAGACAAACUGGUCAUUAAAAUUAAUGGACCUAUUACGUAGCACAGAUUCGUGGUCCAACAGCUUAACAUCCUUGAUGACAUGGACAAAUGAUUGGUUAUGAAUAUUUUGUCCUAUGUGGCACACCUAGAAUUGCUUCAAUUUAGUUCCUUUUAUAUAGUAGUGAUUGAAACUGAAUAAAUGAGUGUAUUUAAUUUAUAAUCCCACAAAAAAGAAGUUAGGUCCACAAGAAUGUUAGAGACCAGAUUACAUAGCGGUCAUCCAUCGGUUCAAUCGGUUAGUUUCGGGUUUUAGUGAUUUUUACAGGUUUUAAAUAUAGAUUUUUUUUUCUAACGUAUAUCGAAUCAUCGGAUUAACGGUUUUACUGCGGGUCCGGGUCAAAUUUAAAAGCACUGAUUUAAAUGAAAAAAAUAUUUUAAAUACACAAAUUCCAUAGGAUAGUCAUUUUUAGUUUAUUUUCACAAAAUAGCCUUAAGGAUGAAAAUGACCAAAAUAAGUUUUAUUAAAGGGUAAAAAUACAUUUUUAUCCGAGGAUUAAGUAAUCCAGAUUUAGAGUUUAGAGUUAAAGGGUGGAGUUUUGAAGAUAUGAUUUCAAAUAUUUUUAAAAUAAAAAAUAAAUUUUAAAAAUUUCAAAAUAAAAAUGAGCUAUUUUGGUCAUUUUCUUCUUUGAAAUCUAUUUUUAUGACAAAAACUUAAAAAUGACUAUUCGAGAGGAUCGCCCUUUUUAAUUUAUCUAUAACUUAUUAAAAUGAUAAAUUACAUAUCUUAUUUAUUUUAAACAUGUUUAUAUGUAUGUUUAAAUUUCAACAAAUAAUGAAAUAAAUAUUAAAUAAUGCAAGAUUUGCAUAAAUUUUGAACCAUCAGCAAAAGAGAUAAACUAAUUAUACAUAUAUAUAUAUAUAUGUAUAAUAUAUUAGUAUAAUCAAAUUAUUAUAUUUUUGUCAAAUAUUUUAAAAUAUAAUUUUAGUUUGAAGAUUAAAAGUGAAAAUCAUAUUUUCACAUUACUAUGCAUGAGUUUUACAUAAGACAAAUUAAUCGGAUAUCAAAACAUUUUCUCAACUUUAUUUAUAUAGAUAUUCGUUUAUUACAUAGUUGUUUAUAUUUAUUGUUACUUUUAUAGUAAUUAGAAAUCUAAAAAGUAUCAGCAAGAUUAAGAAUGAAUUAAUUUUUCAAAGUGUUGUAUAAAAUAUUGUUUACAGUUUUUACAAUUUUGGGAUGCUUUAAGAGUUUUGAAAAUUUAGAUUGUGUUAAUGAGUAUUAAAUUUAAUCAGAUAUAUGUUUUCAUUUAAUUUUACAUGACUAUAGGUAAAAGUUUAAUAAUUUUAAAAGGUUAUCUGUACAUUAAAAUAAAACUAAUUAAAAACUAAAGUAAACAUUAACAUAAAAAUAAUUAAAAAUAAACAAUACAUAAGUAAAACAUAAGCAAAUUUUGAACAAAAAUUAAAGAAAAUUUAUGAAAAUAAAAUUUUUAGAUUUCAAUUCAAGAUGGAAGGUACACUGCCACAUGGAAGUAAUAUUGCAAUUAAGAAAAUGAACCAAUCUGUUAUUACUGGUAAAAGCAACAAUGACGGUUAUUGUUUGUAAGGACAUCAGUGAAUUUAAGUUAAAGGUUAGUGUUCUAACUAGAGUUUAUCACUGCAACCUAUUAUCUUUUAAUGGGUGUCCCAUUGAAGGAAAUGAGAGGUCACUAGACUAUCAAUUCAUGCCCCCAAGAUACUUUGAGUAGACAUCUAUUUCACUGGAAUGACCAUGGUUUGACACCACUAGAUUGGACCACACGUCUUACUGUUGGAUUGGAUGUGACUUCGGGCAGGCUCUUCAAUAUCAAAGCUACAUCCACGUGGACCUGAAAUCAUUAAACAUUCUUCUUAGAAGAGUGACGAGCCAAAAUAUUCAACUUUUCUUUAGUGAUUGCUAAAGUAAAAAGUAGAGAAUCAAUCAAGAGCAAAUGUAUUUGGAGAGCUGGUUAAAUCACCCAAAAGUAUUGAAUAGUUUUCUCAUUCUUUUGUCAAUAUUUAUUCGAUUCUAACAUGUAAAUUAUUUUGCUAACCAAUGAAAUCUUUGUAAUUGUGGCGAGCGCUUUGGUGUCAUCCUCAUGAAGCUCAUAACCAUCAGAAAGCUAUAGACCACACGCGAUCCGGAGAUGAUAUCCACAUUAUAUCUUGGUUCAUAAAGAUGCUUAGUGUAGAAGACCAUUUUUCCAUUGACAAAACCAUUGAAGUCAACCAAAAGAUCCAACUAAGCACCUAUGAGCUAGGUGUUUAAACUAACAAAUCAAUAAUGUGCGAGGAAAUCUGAAUAGAGACCAGAUAUGGCUUAUGUAAUCAGUGUUCUUUUUCCUCGCUGAUUGAGAAGUGGAAACCAAGCACUAGAAUCCAAAAUUUGGACGAAGCCACUUCUUCUAGAAAUGAUAGCAGAUUCGGUGUAGCAUGGGAAGCAGUAGGGCUGGGCAAAAAAUCCGAAUCCGAAGAACCGAACCGAACCCGAUCCGAAAAAGUAGUACCGAAUCCGAACCGAAAUUGAUUAAAUAUCCGAACGGGUUCAAAAUUUUGGUAUCCAGAGAACCGAAACCGAACCCGACCCGAACCGAAGUAUUUCGGGUACCCGAAUGUAUCCGAAAUAGAUUUAUAUAUCUAAAUAUAUUAAUUAUUUUUAGAUUCAAUGUAUAUUAAAAACAUUCAAAAUAUAUAAGAUACUUUUAAGUUGUCUAAAAUACUUGAAAAUAUAUACAAAUAUUCAAAAGUAAAUUUCUAAAAUAGUAUAAAAUAUACUCAAAAACCAAAAAUAGUUGAAAUGUCUACUGAUUGUCUAUCAAAAUAUUCAAACAAACCAAUUUAUAUGUUAAGUUUAGGUACUCUGACAUAUGUUAUUCAAGUUUAUAUGUUAUAUAGUAUUUUAUUUACAGAUUUUGAGAAAUUGAAACUAUAUAUUGAAUUUUAAAAUUUUAAAAAUCAUUUAAAUGGGUUAUCCGAACCCGAACCGAACCCGCAAAGAUCCGAACCCGCAAAGAUCCGAACCGAACCCGAACCGAAAUUUAGAAAUACCCGAAUGGAGCUAAAAUCUUUAACCCCGAAAACCCGAAACCCGAAUAAACCCGAACCGAACCCGAAUGGAUACCCGAACGCCCACCCCUAGUAAGCAGCAUUACAUUAUGAUGUGAAAUACUUUGAAGGAGUUGAGUUGGAUCUUAAUUGGCUAUUGUGAUUCUAGCGGGUUAGAAAACAACUGCAAUGUCAUGGACUUGGGAACUGGAAAGCUAUUAUGGUCACACUAACUGAAAUGUAGGAACAUAAAUGAAAGGAAGUACUCCAAUUGUUUGUUGUUCCCGGUUCUCGUUGUUUCAAGAUUUGCAUUUAGACCAAACACUCAGAUUUAUAUUUGUUGUUUUUGUGUCUUAUGCCUCGAAUUCGCCCUUCUUAUUUUAUUUUCUAAUGAUUUACAAAUAGGUAAUUUCAUGUGUCAUGCGCAACAUUAAAACUUUUAAAUUAAAUUGUUUAAAACAUAAUUUUGAUUUAUCAAUCUAAUUAUAUUUAAAAAUAAUUUAGAAUACAUAAAUUUUAAAUCUUAAUCAAAAUGAUCUUAGCUUGUGUUAUUUAAAUAAUUAGUUUACAAUUAAUUUUGAUAAAAUAUAGAUAUUUAUACAAAAUUUGCUAACUCUUAUCCUAAGUUAAAUUGGCAAUUUUCUUAUACACUGAGCUAUGCGAUCUUUUUAUGAUAGUGCAUAUGGGGAUAACACUAAGCAAUUAUUAUACUGUAUAGUUUUUAAAUUUAAAUAAAAUUCAAUCGGAAAACUUGAUUAGUUGCCUAUAUAUGCUGAUUUAUGAAUCUAAAUAUAAUUUUAAAUAUUUAACUAUGCAUAACUUUGACGUUAUUCAAAAUUAUCUUAGUUUUUGUUUGUCAAAAUAAACUUACAAUUAAUUUUGACAAAAUAGCUAUUUGAAAAAAUUAACUUCUAGACAUAAAUUUUGAAUUUAAUCAAAGAUUAUCUUAGUUCGUGUUUAAUAAUUUUGACAAAAAUAGAUAAUUAUAAAAAAAAUGUUAUAUUUUUUUUUUUUUUUGAAAAAGAAAAGGGUUAAACCCGGGUCUAUUAAAGACACAUACCUAACUCCCGGGUGGGAGGUGCAGCCCACGGAUAGACCUUCUCCCGGGUAUUCAAAUGGGCCGAAAUGCAAUAGCCCAUAUCCGUGUAGGUGACCAGGAAAAUAUGACUUAGUUUCGCAUUGUAGGUGGAUCGAACUUGAAAUGUGAUGAUAUCCAAGUCUUUCCUCUUACCACUUGACCACAAGCUCCCGGUCAAAAAAAUGUUAUAUUUUACCUUUGAAAAUUGUAAAACAAUCCAUGACAUUGUUAGCAUGUUUACGUAUCUGUCUUAUAAUGUCAGCUUAAAAAACCGUUCACACUACGAAUAAACAAAAGAUAAAAGUAUAACAACCAGUCCAGUGCGAACUAUCCGUCAUGUGUGCUCUAGGUUGGUCUGCAGGAUGGUUAAAAAUUGAGGUUUUGGGUUUGAAGAAAAACGAUAAGUGCAUCAAUCCCCUAGACUAUAUUUGCGAAUUGAUUUUGCCAUAUGUCCUUUCUACGAUCAAUUUCACAAAAUAAAUAUGACGUGGCUACUGAAAUUGAUGACAUGUUUUAUAGCUUAAUAUGACAUGGACAAUUAUAUUUAAUGUCAAUUUAUAUUUUUGAUAAACUUUUUAAAAUAUGGUAAUAACUCAUAUAUUACAUUUAAUGUCAAUUUAUAUUUUUUGAAUUUUUUUUUUAAAAUAUGAGAAUAACUCAUAAAUCAUCAUUAAAAUAAAUAUAUAUUCAAAUAUGACACUAUAAAUUUUGAAAUAUAAUUUAAUUAUAUAUUUUUAAAUUAUAUAAUUUUAUUACUAAAAUUUUCAAAAAUGUAUACAAUUUUUUUAGAAAAUUAUAAAAAUUAAUCGUAAAAUCAUUAUUUUCUUAUAUAUCUACAAAUUUUAUAAAUAUUGUUUAAUUUUAAUUUUUGGUAGUUUUGCAACUUUUGCAAAUUUAUUUAAUAUAUUUAAUUAAAAUAAAUAGAUAGAAAAAUCUAUCUAAGAUUAUAAUUUUAAAUAUAUACAUGCAUAUUCUUAAAUAUAAUUUUUAUGUUUAAUUAAAUCAAAUUUAUAUUAAAAUAUGGGCAAAUCUCCAAAAUAACACAUUUCUAAGUUUAUAUCACAAAAAUAGCACUCAAAAACUAAAAUGACCAAAAUAGCACCUUUUUAAGUUUAUCCUUUGAAAAUUUUAAUUUUUUUAUUUUUCAAAAUUUGAAAUCUUAUCCCCAAAACCUCAUUUCUCAACUCUAAACCCUAAAUCCUAAACUCUAAACCCUAAACCCUAAACCCUAAACUUUAAACCCUAAACUCUAAACCCUAAACCCUAAACUCUAAACCCUAAACCCUAAACCCUAAACUCUAAACCCUAAACCCUAAACCC
rnacentral:lncRNA from 1 species